CUUGUUUAGGAAGAUGCUAACGCUGAGGCCGGGCAAAAACGAAACACCUAUUUCCUUCAUCCUUCCCCAGUUUAUCCAAGUACAGCAUCCCCACCCAGGGAAGAGAAAUCAGUCCCGUCAGAAAGCACUGCUCACGCAAACCAGGCGAUUUUCUGAAAUGCCAACGAUCACUGACGGGGAGUCUCGCCAGCAGGAGGUGUGGGAGAAGGCUCUCCCUCUGGAUGCAAACACUAAAGUUGCCAGCCUGAACUUUGCUGGGCUCUUCUCGUGACCCAAUUGUACCUGCCAUGCAGGAAAGCCCCAGGCAAAGCACGAAGGUUACGGGAAGCUGCGCUGCAAAACCAGACUGAAUGCAGCCCACGAGCCACCCCGGCUCCGUUUGGGGCGCAGAUCCCAGGGACGAGACUGGAAAGCCAGUCUUGAAGAACGACUGUGAACCAGUUACACACAGGGCCACACGGCGCCAGACACUUUGCUGGCUCUCAUGGAGAUGGCUUAAAGCAUGCUUGCAUUUUGCGCUGAGUACCAAGGCGGAUUACAAGAGCCACGCAGCAGAAACCGUAUUGCUCACUGGAGGAAGUAAACAGCUGUAGCAUCACAGCCAACAUCUGGAUCUUUUUAUACGCGCUUGGCAGAUGUGCUGUGGAAUAACUGUGGCAACAGUUCAGGAUGCGGCUAGGAGUCUUAUGAUUCUGUGCUGUGUCUCUGGACACAAGCACAGCCCACUAAGGAAGCUCCACGCGGUGGAAUUACAUGUAAACACGCGUUUCUCAGAAAUGGUUAAACCCCUUGCGUUGUGGCCUGCACUGUUUUCCAGACAGUUUGGGUCUGCUUGGUAAUUCCACAUUUCAGCCACUGGUUUGGCCCUCUGGCUUCUCAACAGUGACAAUUACAUCUCACCUCCUGCUCCCAGUGUCCAAAAUUGACAGGUUUGCUCCCAGCCACCAUAGCACCACUCUGUCUGUAUCAUACAUGCAUAAGACUGGCCUAAAUUGAUCUAAGACGCGACAGAAAUAGCUUUCUCUGAGAAAAGCAGUGAAGCGAGUCUUCAGACGCUCACAGCAGUGCAGAGGAAGGGGGACAGAGAAAAGUAUUUACAGUAAGAAACGCUUUCAUUUCCUUCUGUGCUGCCGAGAUGACAUGAAGAAAAUCUCUCUCAAAUACGACGGCAAGACUGGGGCUAACCAUCUGCCUCGGAUGUGCACGUUCAACCUCAUCUCACCUUCAUGCUUGAAGGGCAAGCUGGUAGGGCUUAGGGCUGCGGUGCCAUGGUGGAGACACAAGACAGAACAGACGGCAUGUGCAGGGUCACUUCAAAACAGUACCCCAAUACGUCCAGAAUCUCUCAAAAACAACCAAAUGCAGAAGGGGUGUGCGUACAGCCAAAUCCAGCAAAAGUUCACCUUCUCCUCCAGCCGACGACAGCUGCCUUGCAGAGCUCAUUUACAGAUUUGCAGUAAAAACGAAGAAAAAUACAGCCUUUAUGCUGGAGCUUUACCGUUACAGAAGUGACUCUGCAUGACUGUGACAUUGCGGUGUCCUGUGUUUAGCCUCCCUCUCGGUGACUCCAGGGCAAAUGAGUACAUUUAUGAGUUCAAUAUUUCUGACUGCAAGUGCCCCAUACAUCACACGGUAUAUGAAGUCCCAUUAGCUCCUUCUGUCCCUCACAUCCUCGCUAGCUGAAAAAAAUUAAAUAAAUAAAAAAGAAAUCACAGCCAGGAUAAAGAUCACAGCAGCACAUGCACAAUCUGUGUUGUCAUCAUUCAGAAGUCUCCUCUUAAGAGCAAGCCUCUCAAAUUUCAUAUAUAAUGAAUUUUUUAGAUGAGAUUAGGCACUAAUUUCUAUCAGCUAAUGAAUGCUCACAACACCCUCGGCUCGCCAGAGGGUUCACUUCCCCUUUUUAUAUAAAGGCGCAUAAGGUUUUGUUCGAAUCUUGCAACAAAAAACACCUUGUGAGGCUUAACAGAAACCACAAGAAGAAGGGAGGAAAAAAACCCAAACGAGCAGACAAAAGACAAGAACUUGUAGUUGGAAGAUGGACUAGUAUUUUAUUUUUUUUUUUACUUAGUGAGCUGCAAACUCCCAGGGCCACUUUGUCCUUUCAGCCAUUGACGGCACCGUGAAAGGAGAACAGAGAUCCAUUCCUUACAUGACACGAGGUAUUGAUGGAGCACGGGAGACUGGGAAACCCCAGCUAGCAAGUAAAGCAGCACAUAAACUGUGAAGUAGCAUGAAGAAAUUUGUACGCACUAACCCUGCACAUCUUCCUUUCAAAAGGCUGCCAGAGAGCUAUGCUUGAACUCGAACUCCUGAUCAAAGAAAUCGCAAUAGCGAGCAAAAGCCAGCACAGAUGAGCACAGAAAGGUGCGUGCUUACACGGCGAUGAAGACACUGUCAUGCACUUUGUUUCUCUAACAGCCAAGCUGUGAAAUUACACCAACUCACAACUUAUUUAGGAAUUGGACACAUGUAAUCAAGAUACUCCCGUAGAUCACGUUCAAAGCAAGUGACUUUUGGAUAAAAUAGGCUGUAGUGGCGUAUCGAGAAGAGUGACCAUGACCUCUGGUCAUAGACAAACACCCUCUUGUGUCAGUGACUCUACAGACCCACGUGGGGCUGUAAAAUGUAAAUAAACCUGCAGAAUCCCAGCCACAGACAGUGAGGAACAUGGACGUACCUAGGUUUUCCCAGGCAGCCCCAAAGCACAGGCCUGCCAAAUAGCCUAUGGUCUCCAUGAGACCUGCUCCACCAGCCCUUGUGCCAAACGCUGCCCUGCACCACUUGUGCUCCACACGCGCUGCUGCUUGGGACCCGCCACCCUGAGCAGACCACGACCUCUGGCCAGCUGCAGCCAGGUUACGUGGUCCUGGAGGGGCAGAGACACCAAAAGGCUGUGUUGCAGCUGUGGAGAGAUUCCAUUUUACCAACAGCAGCCCAUUCUCCAAGCUGAGCCGUGCCGCAGGCACGUGCCGCUCACUGCAAUGGACGCGCACCGUGGUGGCUGCCAGCGGGUCCGACAGACCAGAGACUCUUGCCCACCGCACGGACCACAGCAGAGAGGUCUUAGGAAAGCAGACAGGCCAGACACAAGCCACUGAUAUUCCCCCCCACCUCCUGAAACUGCCCAUUUGCCACACUUUCCGCAGAAAGUUGCACCUGGGGAAUUUCUUCUGACCAGCUCUCAUUUGGAUGCUGAAUAAAGCAAAUCAGGAGGAGAGAAGGAAAAUGGACUUGCAUUCUCAUUCCUCCUGUCUCUGCCCCAGAGACAACUUGGAGGUGAUCCCCCUUUCAGCUCAAUCCAUGCAACUUCCACGGGGCUGGUCCUCUGCCGAGACAUCACCCAGCCCUGCACGGAACCCCGCAGCCAGCGACCAGCUACGCAGCGUGAGGUUUAAUCAGAGGGCACUGUGGGGAAAGGAGAGCGAAGGAGGCACAUUGCCACACCGGUUUUCCAGCUUCCACUACAAAAAGACCAUUAGAAAGACUGUUCUGAGUCAGAUUAAAAGUUCACUUCGGCCAUCAGCCUGUCUGCAAACACAGCUGAAGCCAGAUCCUCAACUAGAGAUGCUGUCUCUAUUAAAGUAGCCCACGAAUUACAAAGAGCAUGUUGCAGAAACAUGCUGAGAUCAGGAAUUGCUGCAGAAAGGCUCUGUGCCUAAUUACGGACCAGGUACACGUGAUUUCUCCAGCCUGUAGUACCUCCAGGGAAGGAACAGUCCGACACACUGAGCUGGGGGCUGCCUGCAAGAGUCAGGGCCAGAACUUCUGGAUCUCUGGGGAUGCUCCCGUGGGGACUGUCAGACCUCCGGUGACAGGGGCCCAGGGAAUGCUCUCUCUUCCUCAGAGUAUCCGUGGAUAUUUUGAGCUUUCUCUUGCCAAGAGAUGGAAGGAACAUCCAAGAUCCUGCAGCCACAGAUGAGGACUUUGUUGCAUUGGGGGCUUAGCAGCAGCGCUCAUAAAAGGCAAAGCUGUAUGGCUACAUGCUCCAAUGCACAAAGAGGAACCUGGGAGACCUCUUAGCAGCAGGUCUGCUGUGCUUCACACACCCCUCUGGCGAGACACAUACCACUGGCCCUUGCCUCAGGCUCCCUGCCACAGCCUUUGCUUUUGCGGUGGGAUGCUGAGGUUAUCUGGGACCCGCCAAUGCAGAUGCCACUGCUCUGUCUAAAAUGUAUGGUCCAAGUAAGAGCGCGCGGCAGGGACGACCCUGAAGGGGCAGAGAUGAUAAGACUCUGCAUAGCACCCAAGAGCAAACAGAGGAUCUGAACUGCAGAAACCCUCUGCUCAAAAUAACCCAAGUUGAAAAACUCACAGUAGCAGCCUGAUUUCAUGCCCACAGCGCUCUGGGAGAGCCCACCUCUGCUGCCCUGUAACACACAGAAGAGCGGUCCCACGCCUUCAGAAUACGUAAAGGAGAAAUUGGGGAGAGAUCUUCCUCAGCUCCCAAUUCUGACAAGUUAAAAAUCCAUGUGUUUGUCACAGAUCCCACAACACAUACACAAGCUCCCCUCUCCCAGCUCCCUCUCAGACACCAAACAAGAUCAGCCAGGAUUACAGAAGCUUAUUUGGAUUUCUACACAAUAACAAGUUGCUGUCACCCUCAGGCCUUCUCUUCUUCCUCUUGCCAUAUGUGUUGGUGCUUCUCUCUCUACUCCUGCCACAAGACAGCUCAGGCUGAAUGUGAUGAAUUCACCCCCAACUCCACUGCCACUGAGCAGCUAUGAGGGGAGAGACCCAGGCAGGUCCACCAAAAACCAGAGACAUGGAAGAGGAACCGUGUCAACACUGCCACCUCAUCUCAGUGCUCACCUACCGCCUCACCGCCCAGUGAGACGAAGAACACAAGCAUCCCAGCUGUCCAGGUCAAGCACACCAGUCACACACCCCUGACAUAGCUCUUCUAGGCUGGCCCACAAUGGCAAGAGAACAAGAUGACUCCAUAUCUGGAAUAACUGCUAGAAACUACAGAAUCUAAAUUGUGUAAAUUUAAAUUUUAGCACCACUGCAUGCGGGGUGAAAUGCUUUG